GGACCCGCACAAGCGGUGGAGCAUGUGGUUUAAUUCGAUGCAACGCGAAAAACCUUACCUACUCUUGACAUACUUGGAAGCUCUUGUAAUGAGAGUGUGCCUUUUGGAGCCAAGAUACAGGUGCUGCAUGGCUGUCGUCAGCUCGUGUCGUGAGAUGUUCCGUUAAGUCGGAUAACGAGCGCAACCCUUACCCUUAUUUGCCAGCGAUUCGGUCGGGAACUAUAAGGGGACUGCCGGUGAUAAACCGGAGGAAGGUGAGGACGACGUCAAGUCAUCAUGGCCCUUACGAGUAGGGCUACACACGUGCUACAAUGGGGAAUACAGACGGACGCUAAGCCGCGAGGUGGUGCUAAUCCUAGAAAGUUCUUCGUAGUCCGGAUUGGAGUCUGCAACUCGACUCCAUGAAGUCGGAAUC
rnacentral:rRNA from 1 species